UACGAGAGGCCCGAGCGUUGUCCGGAGUUACUGGGCGUAAAGGGUGCGUAGGGGGUUGCGUUAGUCGGUGUUUAAAUUCUUGGGCCUAACCUAAGACAUGGCAUCGAAACGGCGCAACUCGAGGGUGCGAGAGGCUCGUGGAACUCAUGGUGGAGGGGUGAAAUCCGUUGAUAUCAUGGGGAACACCAAAGGCGAAGGCAACGAGCUGGCGCAUACCUGACCCUGAGGCACGAAAGCGUGGGGAUCAAAAAGG
rnacentral:misc_RNA from 1 species